rnacentral:rRNA from 1 species
GUAUAGAACCUACCUUUUACAGAGGAAUAGCCUUUAGAAAUGAAGAUUAAUGCCUCAUAGUAUUGUAGACUGGCAUCAGUUUAUAAUUAAAGAUUUAUCGGUAAAAGAUGGCUAUGCGUCCUAUUAGUUAGUUGGUAAGGUAACGGCUUACCAAGACAGCGAUAGGUAGGGGUCCUGAGAGGGAGAUCCCCCACACUGGUACUGAGACACGGACCAGACUCCUACGGGAGGCAGCAGUGAGGAAUAUUGGACAAUGGAGGAGACUCUGAUCCAGCCAUGCCGCGUGUAGGAAGAAUGCCCUAUGGGUUGUAAACUACUUUUAUACAGGAAGAAACACUGGUAUGUAUACCAGCUUGACGGUACUGU